AGAGGAAAUGAGGCCAAAUAAAUAAAUAAUGAAAGGAAGGCGCGACUCCAUCCAUCUCUCCCUCCCGCCCCCUCGAGCUGCGGCACGGUCCCCGGGCGGCCGCCACCUGCGCGCGGGCGGGGCGGGCGCGGGGCCUCGAGCGGGGCUGGGUCGGGGCACGGCCCCUGCCGCUCCUCCGGCUCGGGGCUGGGCGAGAAGCGGCUCCCCCCGCCCCAGGGGCCGCCGCGGGUCAGCACCGGAGCGGGCUGGACGUCGCCGGGUGAGGGGCCGAGCGCGGCUCUCGGCUUCUCCGGGGAGGCGGCCGGAGCUAAGUCCUGGGGAAUCCCUCGUGGCAGCGCAGGGCGCAGCUUGCCUGUACAGACCGAGGGAGCAAAAAGAUGGAGCCGCCCAAGGCGCAAGGGGAACGACUGCCUGGAGACGUUCGCAUUGUUAAAAGUCAAUCUUACAUUCUUCAGCCUUGGAAGAGGCAGAAUUUUGGCUUUGAUAGAGUAUUUGUUCAGCUUCGGACACCGGGUUUGAUACUGUAAAAUACCUGGGAAGACGACUUGCGCUAAAAGCUAAGACUAAAGACAUAAGUGCAGCAGUAAAAGAACUUGGCUUAGUAAAAAAUUGUCUUAUGCUUAGAUACUCAGAGUGCCACACAGAUCAAACUACCUGUACAAAGGUCACGCAAGAGAAAUCCGGUCUCCCCACCAGCUAUUCAUGAAUCCAUGGAGUAAAAAUCUGGGCAUUUCUUACCUAGCUGCCAAUUGCAGGAUUUGCCACACUUUCAAAAGCAUAGGCAAGGGGUCCUGACAGUAUUGUUAUCCCCAUUACCUAUUGAAACAACAACAUGAGUUGCCCUCUGGUCUUGUCCAAAACUAAGGAAGCCAACAGGACUCCCACUGAAUUCAUUAGUUUUUUAGAUUAGGAUUUAAGGUGAUAUAACUCAGACCAUAGUCUGUAUGUAAAGAGGUUGCUUCCCUGUCACCUUAACUGGCAAGUCAAUUAUUUCAGCUCCCUAGGGCUAAUGUAUUCUUCACCAAUACCACCUUGGAGUCCCAACAAAACCAAACCGAAACUUUUCUAUCCUUUUCUGAUGGUAGGAGAGAGGUAACUGUACUCGGACUUCUCCCCUCAGCCAUCCUGGAGUUUUGAACCCUUUUUGUGGCUCCAGCCUCCUUAGCUGCUCAUCACUUCCAGCUGGCUCCCAGCCAGGUAGACUACUGCUCCCUGUGCCUGUAGCUGCAUUGGGAGCCCUUGAGGGCACAGCACCUCCUUAUACUGCCUUUUAAUUGUAAUGGCUCUAAGCAGCCAUAGGGUUGAGAGGGCCUCUAAUGCCACGUCCAGAUGAGCACAGGCAUUUGGUUCCCCAGGGACAAGUAGCAGUGGUGCACCUUGCGCUGCAGCUACUUGUCCCCAGGGAAUGCCUGUGCCAUGCACACUUUGGUACACAGCAAGUUACCCUGGGGGUGGUAGAGGAGGCUGGGGCCACCACUCCGCCCCUACUGGGAUCCUGGCUGUGGUGAUGCUGCCAGGCAGUGCCUGGCUGGCAGCCACAGCAUGGCUCUGGGUGGCCUGGCUCCACUACUUUGGAGGAGCAGGCUGAUGCACAAGGGUGCUUCAGUGCAGAGCUAGCCAGCAGGCAGCCCCCAUGCAGAAGCAAUGUGUGCCACAGCCAGCCAGAGCAGCAUCUACACAUGUGCUGCUGUGCAUGAAGAAACUCCACAGCAGGGGUCGUACUUGUAUUUAUUUGCUAUGGAGUUUAUUAGUUUCAUGUGCCCUAAUAGGGGUGUGUGGGUAGACGCCAAGACAUUUACUGUGCUGUUAAUUAGUCAAUUGCACAGUAAACAUUUUGUGUAAAUGUGCCCUGUGUGAACUGAAGUAUGCUCAAGAAAUUUGUGUACAGAUAUGCCAAUUUCCUGAGGAGGAAUGCAAAAAUCUUAACUUCUUUUGCUUAAAUCAGGCUGCUCUUCUGGAAUCCUCCAUCAUUAAUACUGACAGCACACAGACCUGGAAUGCAUGUCUUCCUGCAGGAGCAAAAAACAUCACCAUAUUGAAACAUUGAGUUCAAAGGCCUGCAAUACAUACUACAUACAUACCAGUUUGCAAAAAUAGUGAAGACAGAAUGUGACCCUAAAUUUCAUACUCCAUAAUCCAGUAGCUCAGCAUAAUUCUAGUACUCUCUCCUCUGUCAUGAGAACUUCUGUACAUACAAAAACAAAUGGCAAAGAAAAAGAACACCUCUUAGUGUUCAUGUAAAAAUUGUUAAAUCUCACCUAUACAUAUUUUGCCAGAAGUAUUAGAAUUCUCAAACCUGGAAAUAUUCUAGGUGUUCAGCUUUCCACCAGGUAUUCCAUUGUGAAUGUUCAUACCCUGCAAAACUGAUGUUCCACAAGCUUUGCUGCAGAACUUUUCAGCCAAGUAAUUGACCACCCACACACAGCCACUGCCAAACCACUCUGCCCAAAGUAUGCAUUAGGUAAAUGAAUACUACACAUCUGGGGCCAUAAGUGCAACCUUAGGAUAGAGAAAAUACUCUGUAAGGUUACAUGCUAUAAAUCUGUGCUUACAACCUUCAUCUAAUGAUAACAUAAUAAAAAAUAAUAAACAUCACUGAAAAUAAGGCACUCAAAUCUCUCUUUAUAGCAGUUCUUUAUUUUGUAUUUAAUGUAUGCUUUAUCCACAGAAGCACUUUGCUUUGAAAAAUCCAAAUACAUUUAGUCAAUAGAAAUAGCAUUCUGCACAUGCCGUCUUGGCUAAAUUUUAAUCAAAAAACAAUAAAAUUUAUAAAUUUG